rnacentral:rRNA from 1 species
UACGAAGGGGGCUAGCGUUGCUCGGAAUCACUGGGCGUAAAGGGCGUGUAGGCGGGACGGUAAGUCGGGCGUGAAAUCCCUAGGCUCAACCUAGGAACUGCACUCGAAACUACCAUUCUUGAGUGUCGGAGAGGAAAGCGGAAUUCCUGGUGUAGAGGUGAAAUUCGUAGAUAUCAGGAGGAACACCAGUGGCGAAGGCGGCUUUCUGGACGAUAACUGACGCUGAGACGCGAAAGCGUGGGGAGCAAACAGG